rnacentral:tRNA from 1 species
GAGUGUAUAGCUCAGUGGUAGAACACAUGCUUAGUAUGCACGAGGUCCUGGGUUCAAUCCCCAGUAGCUCC